GCCGAUGGUACAAAUUCUGAAAUCCAUUGGCCUGCGAAGUCCUGCUCUGUUUUGCUUUCCCGCGUUGGCUUCGAUUCUUAGGGCUCCCGUCACAGCGGAGCUGGAGUUCUUCUAUCGUCGCCACAUCUCCAAGAAAAGUAGUUGCUGGUAUAAUCGAGGAGGGAUACGUGGGCGUGACAUGGAGAUGUAGCUCUUGGCGCUUAUGAAAGCGAAUUCUAAGUUCUUGUUAUCAGAAUAGCUUAAAAGAACAGUGUGAGAUCACAUCAUCCCAAAAAAAAUAAGAUUGAGCACUGGUCAAAUCUUUAUGUCGACGUCUUCCAUGGAUUUCAUCUUUUUUGUUGGACAAAACCAGUCUUCGACACAUGCAAAUGCACGUGAGGGACUUUCGACAAAAGACCAUGUGCUGCGAUGCGACGGUGCAAAAUAAUGCCGUUUGCCACCGAAUUGCCGGUAGUGGGAGGCCAAGUGAAUUAUAUAAUAUAACACAUGCUCGGUGUUCAUAUUCGUAUCCAAAUUUUUUAUCAAAUAAUUUCUGGAUAAGGAUGUGGAUCGGGUUCCAUGCUAGAUAGAAUUAGAUGUUUCUACAUUAAAUCAAGAAAAAAGUUUAACUAUAUAUAGUAUAUUGUGUUUUCAUAUUGAUAAAAGAAUCAAUAAUAUAUCUAAAAUAGUCUUCUGAUUAUUUA